GGUCCCCUAGUCUAAAGGUUAGGACAUAGCCCUUUCAAGGCUAAAAUGCUCGGUUCAAGUCCGGUGGGGAUCAC
rnacentral:tRNA from 1 species